rnacentral:rRNA from 1 species
GGGUCAGUAGGUCGGUCGUGCCACCGGUACGUACUGGUCUCACUGAUUCCUCCUUCCCGAAGAACCGUAAUGCCAUUAAUUUGGUGUUGCGGGGAAACAGGACUGUUACUUUGAAAAAAUUAGAGUGUUUAAAGCAAGCUAACGCUUGAAUACAUUAGCAUGGAAUAAUGAAAUAGGACGAUCGAUCCUAUUUUGUUGGUUUCUAGGAUUGACGUA